UACAUUAUAAAUUGUAAUCGUUUAAACUUUAUCUUUAAAUAUAAGAAUUGUGGAUGUAAUUAGCAUCGAAUUACCGAAAUAACAACUUAGUUCCAACUCCCCUCCGGCUCCCUAGUGGAGAUUUCAUCUCUUCUCCGAUUCCUUCUCGGAAUUUCUAUUUAGCACACUCUGUCUCCGAGCAACUCGAUAAAGCAGAUUAUUACAAGUGCAACUCGAUGAAGCAUCAAUAAAGAGACGCAAUCGAUGAUUAUUUGUCCCACAAAUCUCUAGCCUAUCUUAGCUUGCUCACGAUGGAUCACAAGGGCAACUUUGGUUCCUCAAUUUCGGCUGAUCCUAUCCUCAUUCAGAAGCAGAUCUUUUUACAUGUAAAAAUGUACCAUCUGUACAUUGUAUAUUUUUUAUUCUUCUGUUUUUACAUAAUUAAUUACGCUAUAUUUCUGGUACGGACCGUCCGCACCUGUGGUGAAUGGUGGUCAUCGACGAUUAGGUUCCGAUGAAUGUGUUACCUCGGUGUAACGACAUUCGGCAGCUGUAGUACCGUGCUUGGAAUAACAUUGGAACCCACGAUGUUGUUGAUCGUGGUCGAAUCCAUCGUGUUUCAGACAUCGAAACCCAUGACGGAAUUGAUGUGAUACCUCACUGCAAGCGUCGGAUAGACCGUCCGCACCUGAAACUCUAUGUAAUUA
rnacentral:lncRNA from 1 species